rnacentral:rRNA from 1 species
CCUACGGGGGGCAGCAGUGGGGAAUAUUGGACAAUGGGGGGAACCCUGAUCCAGCCAUGCCGCGUGUGUGAAGAAGGCCCUCGGGUUGUAAAGCACUUUCAGUGAGGAAGAACGCCUGGUGGUUAAUACCCAUCAGGAAAGACAUCACUCACAGAAGAAGCACCGGCUAACUCCGUGCCAGCAGCCGCGGUAAUACGGAGGGUGCGAGCGUUAAUCGGAAUUACUGGGCGUAAAGCGCGCGUAGGUGGCUUGAUAAGCCGGUUGUGAGAGCCCCGGGCUCAACCUGGGAACGGCAUCCGGAACUGUCAAGCUAGAGUGCAGGAGAGGAAGGUAGAAUUCCCGGUGUAGCGGUGAAAUGCGUAGAGAUCGGGAGGAAUACCAGUGGCGAAGGCGGCCUUCUGGACUGACACUGACACUGAGGUGCGAAAGCGUGGGUAGCAAACAGGAUUAGAUACCCUAGUAGUC